GGGGCCGUACUGGUUUCGACGGGGAUAUGGAGAGCGGGAUAGCGGGCGGAUGCGCCUGGCAUCCUAAAAACGGGCAAUUAUAAAUUAAAGAACAGUAACAGAACUGCUCUUGUCGCUGCUUAAGCAGUGACCGUCCCGCCUGGGAGUGCCGCGGCCCGGGGCCGGGGCGUCGACAGCGGCGUCCGUGAGUACGCAAAGCUUUGAGCGUACCAUGCAUUGAUGAAGCUACCGAAUUCCGGAGUGUGAGAAGACCACGCCGGGAGGAGGGAAAGUAAAAGUCUCUCUGCGCCCGGAGAGGUUCCGCAGGAAGUAUUUUCGGACAGGGGUUCGAUUCCCCUCGGCUCCACCA
rnacentral:tmRNA from 1 species